ACGGGAGGCAGCAGUGGGGAAUAUUGCACAAUGGGCGCAAGCCUGAUGCAGCGACGCCGCGUGGGGGAUGACGGCCUUCGGGUUGUAAACCCCUUUCAGUAGGGACGAAGCGUGAGUGACGGUACCUACAGAAGAAGCACCGGCCAACUACGUGCCAGCAGCCGCGGUAAUACGUAGGGUGCGAGCGUUGUCCGGAAUUACUGGGCGUAAAGAGCUCGUAGGUGGUUUGUCGCGUUGUUCGUGAAAACUCACAGCUUAACUGUGGGCGUGCGGGCGAUACGGGCAGACUAGAGUACUGCAGGGGAGACUGGAAUUCCUGGUGUAGCGGUGGAAUGCGCAGAUAUCAGGAGGAACACCGGUGGCGAAGGCGGGUCUCUGGGCAGUAACUGACGCUGAGGAGCGAAAGCGUGGGGAGCGAACAGGAUUAGAUACCCUGGUA
rnacentral:rRNA from 1 species